UACGUAGGGGGCAAGCGUUGUCCGGAUUCAUUGGGCGUAAAGAGCGUGUAGGCGGCCAGGUAGGUCGGUUGGGAAAACUGGAGGCUCAACCUUCAGAGGUCGACCGAAACCAUCUGGCUAGAGUCCGGGAGAGGAGAGUGGAAUUCCUGGUGUAGCGGUGAAAUGCGCAGAUAUCAGGAAGAACACCCGCGGCGAAAGCGGCUCUCUGGAACGGUACUGACGCUGAGACGCGAAAGCGUGGGGAGCGAACAGG
rnacentral:rRNA from 1 species